AUGUUUGCUUCAGCUCCACUGCUGCUGCUGGCUCUCGCCCCCUAUGUGUUCUGUGCUACUGAGCUCAUCCAGCCAGACUCACUGCUUAUAAAGCCAGGAGAGACUUUAACCAUCACCUGUAAAGUGUCUGGAGCUUCUAUCACUGAUAGCAGCAGCCAUUAUGGAACAGCUUGGAUUCGACAACCUGCAGGAAAAGCUUUAGAAUGGAUCAACGGCAUUUAUUAUAAUGGAGAUAUUUAUAAGAAAGAUUCACUUAAAGACAAGUUUGUGGUCUCUCGAGACACUUCCAGUAACUCCGUGACCUUACGGGGACAGAACAUGCAGACUGAAGACACAGCUGUGUAUUACUGCGCUCGUGAUCCACACAGUGAGACGAAUAAACAACAUCCCUAUACAAAAAUUCAGUGUUCACAGUAA